UCCACUAAGGAUAUUAACCUUAUGGCCUUCCUCCCUACUGAAAGUGCUUUACAACCCUAAGGCCUUCUUCACACACGCGGCAUGGCUGGAUCAGGGUUGCCCCCAUUGUCCAAUAUUCCCUACUGCUGCCUCCCGUAGGAGUCUGGGCCGUGUCUCAGUCCCAGUGUGGCUGAUCAUCCUCUCAGACCAGCUAUGGAUCGUCGCCUUGGUAGGCCUUUACCCCACCAACAAGCUAAUCCAACGCAGGCUCAUCCAAUAGCGCAAGGUCCGAAGAUCCCCUGCUUUCCCCCGUAGGGCGUAUGCGGUAUUAAUCCGAGUUUCCCCGGGCUAUCCCCCUCUACUGGGUAGAUUCCUACGCGUUACUCACCCGUCCGCCGCCUCGACGCCUGGAGCAAGCUCCAUCGUUUCCGCUCGACUUGCAUGUAUUAGGCCUGCCGCCAGCGUUCAAUCUGAGCCAUGAUCAAACUCUA
rnacentral:rRNA from 1 species